UACGAAGGGGGCUAGCGUUGUUCGGAUUUACUGGGCGUAAAGCGCACGUAGGCGGAUCUUUAAGUCAGAGGUGAAAUCCCAAGGCUCAACCUUGGAACUGCCUUUGAUACUGGGGAUCUUGAGUCCGGGAGAGGUGAGUGGAACUGCGAGUGUAGAGGUGAAAUUCGUAGAUAUUCGCAAGAACACCAGUGGCGAAGGCGGCUCACUGGCCCGGUACUGACACUGAGAAACGAAAGCUUGGGUAGCGAACGGG
rnacentral:rRNA from 1 species